GACGUGCUAAUCUGCGAUAAGCGUCGGUAAGGUGAUAUGAACCGUUAUAACCGGCGAUUUCCGAAUGGGGAAACCCAGUGUGAUUCGUCACACUAUCAUUAACUGAAUCCAUAGGUUAAUGAGGCGAACCGGGGGAACUGAAACAUCUAAGUACCCCGAGGAAAAGAAAUCAACCGAGAUUCCCCCAGUAGCGGCGAGCGAACGGGGAGCAGCCCAGAGCCUGAAUCAGUGUGUGUGUUAGUGGAAGCGUCUGGAAAGGCGUGCGAUACAGGGUGACAGCCCCGUACACAAAAAUGCACAUACUGUGAGCUCGAUGAGUAGGGCGGGACACGUGGUAUCCUGUCUGAAUAUGGGGGGACCAUCCUCCAAGGCUAAAUACUCCUGACUGACCGAUAGUGAACCAGUACCGUGAGGGAAAGGCGAAAAGAACCCCGGCGAGGGGAGUGAAAAAGAACCUGAAACCGUGUACGUACAAGCAGUGGGAGCACGCUUAGGCGUGUGACUGCGUACCUUUUGUAUAAUGGGUCAGCGACUUAUAUUCUGUAGCAAGGUUAACCGAAUAGGGGAGCCGAAGGGAAACCGAGUCUUAACUGGGCGUUAAGUUGCAGGGUAUAGACCCGAAACCCGGUGAUCUAGCCAUGGGCAGGUUGAAGGUUGGGUAACACUAACUGGAGGACCGAACCGACUAAUGUUGAAAAAUUAGCGGAUGACUUGUGGCUGGGGGUGAAAGGCCAAUCAAACCGGGAGAUAGCUGGUUCUCCCCGAAAGCUAUUUAGGUAGCGCCUCGUGAAUUCAUCUCCGGGGGUAGAGCACUGUUUCGGCAAGGGGGUCAUCCCGACUUACCAACCCGAUGCAAACUGCGAAUACCGGAGAAUGUUAUUACGGGAGACACACGGCGGGUGCUAACGUCCGUCGUGAAGAGGGAAACAACCCAGACCGCCAGCUAAGGUCCCAA
rnacentral:rRNA from 1 species